rnacentral:rRNA from 1 species
UACGAAGGCCCCAAGCGUUAUCCGGAUUUAUUGGGCGUAAAGCGUUAAUAGGCGGCGAUGUCAGUCAUUGGUCAAAUCCUGCGGCUCAACCGUAGGGCAGCUGGUGAUACUGCAUUGCUUGAGGCUGGAAGAGGCAAACGGAACUACCGGUGUAGCGGUAAAAUGCGUUCAUAUCGGUAGGAACACCAAAGGCGAAAGCAGUUUGCUGGAACAGUCCUGACGCUAAAUAACGAAAGCGUGGGGAGCGAAUGGG